rnacentral:rRNA from 1 species
UACAGAGGUGGCAAGCGUUGUUCGGAUUUACUGGGCGUAAAGGGCGCGUAGGCGGCGUGGUAAGUCACUUGUGAAAUCUCCGAGCUUAACUCGGAACUGCCAAGUGAUACUGCUGUGCUAGAGUGCAGAAGGGGCAACCGGAAUUCUUGGUGUAGCGGUGAAAUGCGUAGAUAUCAGGAGGAACACCGGUGGCGAAGGCGGAUCUCUGGGCCUUACCUGACGCUCAGGUGCGAAAGCUAGGGGAGCGAACAGG